UCAACUAAUAAAUUGAUUUGCACCAUAAUUUCUUUUUAACAAAACAUGUUUAUAAGUUAUAUAGCAAUCUGUUCACAACAGAAACCAUUUCAUUUUCAUAAAAAGCCUGCUCCACUUAGCAACCUCACUGUUUCAUUAGGAAUGAUAACAUUAGGAUUCCUAACAGUAACAGGUGGAUAUGUUUUGCUAUGAACUGAUUUGUAAGAUUCAUUGACCUGAAGACUAAGGGCCCUCAUUGUUGGAAGUAUUGGAGAGUUUUUAUCAGCUGCUUUGCUGCCUCCAGAGCCAUUAGCUGUCCAAAAUGUUGUGGAUUUUUCAAAGAUGAUUGGAGCAUUAGAUGUAAAUGAAAAUCUUACACAUCUUGUGUCAGGGAUCAUUUUCUUUUGCCUCAAGAGAACAAAGACCAAGCUAGUACAACAAAAUCAAUAUUUUCUGCAAAGGAUUACAAUGAUCAUAUGGCACUUGUGUGUGAAUAUGAAGGAUGGAAAGAAGCUGAAAGAGAAGGAUAUGCUUAUAAAUAUUGCUGGAGGAAUUUCCUUUAUGCUCAAACACU